rnacentral:rRNA from 1 species
GAUGAACGCUGGCGGCGUGCCUAACACAUGCAAGUCGAACGAACCUGACUCUUCGGAUGAAUGGUUAGUGGCGCACGGGUGAGUAAUACGUAGGUGACCUGCCCCAGAGUGGGGGAUAACUUCUCGAAAGGGAAGCUAAUACCGCAUAAGCUUGGUCGUUCAUUUGAUCAAGUAAAGCUCCGGCGCUCUGGGAGGGGCCUGCGUCCGAUUAGCUAGUUGGUGGGGUAACGGCCUACCAAGGCGAUAAUCGGUAGCUGGUCUGAGAGGACGAUCAGCCACACUGGCACUGACACACGGGCCAGACUCCUACGGGAGGCAGCAGUGAGGAAUAUUGCGCAAUGGGCGAAAGCCUGACGCAGCAACGCCGCGUGGAGGAUGAAUGCCUUCGGGUUGUAAACUCCUUUUCUGGGGGAAGAGACAAGGACGGUACCCCAGGAAUAAGUCUCGGCUAACUACGUG